GCAUAUCUAUGAGCGGAGGAAAAGACACCAACAGGGAUUGCCUCAGUAACGGCGAGUGAAGCGGCAAAAGCUCAAAUUUGAAAGCUUCGGCAUUGUAAUUUGAAGAAAUAAAACCCACGGCGAGGCGAAACAAGUCCAUUGGAAAAUGGCGCCACAGAGGGUGACAGCCCCGUAGUUUCUCCCCUCACCCAACCGUUUUAUUUCCAAGAGUCGAGUUGUUUGGGAUUGCAGCUCUAACGGUGGUAAAUUCCAUCUAAAGCUAAAUACUGGCGAGAGACCGAUAGCGAACAAGUACAGUGAUGGAAAGAUGAAAAGCACUUUGAAAAGAGAGUGAAAAAGUACGUGAAAUUGUUGAAAGGGAAGGGCUUGACCGGCUGGGGAGGUCGGGGAAAAAGAGGCCAAAACAAGCAAGGAAUGUAACUCUCGAGUAUUAUAUCCUCGCCCACACCCUCACUUUUCCCCGUGGACCGCUAACAGGAUCUCCCCCCAAUCCGGCCAAGUCGCCCGUCUUGAAACACGGACCAAGGAGUCUAACGUCGAUGCAAGUGUUUGGGCGUAAACCCCAAGCGCGCAGUGAAAACAAAGGAAGAGUUACAUCUUCUCCCUCCCUCCGCCUCCUGGCAAAGGGAGAGGAAGCAUCCCCGUUGGGACCCGAAAGAUGGUGAACUAUACCUGGAUAGGGUGAAGCCAGAGGAAACUCUGGUGGAGGCUCGCAGCGGUUUCUGACGUGCAAAUCGAUUCGUCGAAUCUGGGUAUAAGGGCGAAAGACUAAUCGAACCAUCUCGUAGCUGGUUCCUGCGGA
rnacentral:rRNA from 1 species